GAAAUCCUCGUUCCAAUCU
rnacentral:tRNA from 1 species